rnacentral:misc_RNA from 1 species
UGGAAGAGUCAGACUCAUGAGGAUCU